UAAAGUACUCUAACCCAUACCCUGAUAGGCCAUGUUUGAUAUAUAUAGUAUACUUAGGCCCUAUUUGUUGGGCUUAAAAUGGACUAUAAUCCUAGCUGUUGUUUGGUGGGUCUAAAUGCACUGUGGGACUGGUUAGGCCUCAUAUCUCGAUAGGAUACCAAUCCAGCGAAUGAGGAUUUUGUAAACCCAAGUGGAACCAUGGGUUUCGAAGCCUCCGCCUCCGCCUCCGCCUCUGCCUUUCGUUGCUUAGAGCACCUCUUCUUUUCAUCGUCUUUCUUUUCUUCUUCUAUUCAUCUUUGUCUCUGAUGCUCCCACAGAUUUCAAGCAAUCUGACACUUCAAUCUCUCAUGCUCUCUCUCAUGCAAAUAGGAGCAAGAAAAAAAUAGGAAGGAAAGGAUGGGUCUGAAGAGAAGGGAAAAGUAGAUCUUGACAAUAAUUUUUUUUCUUCUCAUUUUCUGAGUUUCGCCUAAACUUGGAAUUGGGGGCCCUUGAUAAGGGUUGUCUAUCUCUGUUUUUUUUUCUUGCUUCUGUUUGUUUCUGGUCCUGAUAAGAAUCCCAGAUUUUCUCCACCUCUCUAUCUCCUUUUGGCUUCAAUUUUAUUUAUUUAUUUGCUGUUGUUAAUUUUGGUUAAUGGGUUGAUCGACGCCUUCGCCUGAGACUCCAGCAACACCGAUGAACGACGUCGUCGCCUCCGACUCCAUCAACACUGAUGAACGACAAGUUGACCUUCCUGAGAUCAUUGUCGCCACUCCAUUACAACCUCAAAUAUUAUCAUGGAAUCUGUGUAUACCGCUCCUUAAGGUCUUGGAAUAUCUUCCUCUUGGAAUAUCUGAUUUCUUAUUUUUAAUUUUGUUUACAUGUUUUUCUAUUAAAUUUAAUUAUUUCUGAUAUUAAAUAAUUUUAAUAAAUUUUGUUUGAAUUCCAAUGCAGUCCAGCCCAUACUUGUACCAAACAACGGACUGGACUUAGUCCAGUGCAGUCUAACCCAACUUAAUGUACCAAAUAACUUAUUAAAGUCCAACUCAAUUCAAGUCAAAUCAAUCCAACAUUUCAAGCCCAAUCCUAACCAGUUCAGUCAAACCCACCAAACAUGACCUUAACGUACCUAGUUAAUCUCCUCAAGCUUCUUCACUAUUGUGAAGACUGGCAUUUGUAGCUACUAGCUACUCAACCACACAAGAUAAUUCCCAACUUCUAGAUUCAACACCCUGGUUUAAUUAAGCUCUUCUUUUUUAUUUUAAAAAUUAAUGUUCAUUUGUAGAGAGGUUGUAGCUCUAGUGAUUAAGAACAUCUAUUUAUGCAUGCAUCGGAGGUACUAAAUU